CGCGUCUAGCAUGCAAGUCGAGCGGUAAGGGCAGCAAUGCCCCUAGAGCGGCGGACUGGUGAGUAACGCGUGGGUGACCUACCCCCCUGGUUGGGGAUAGCCCCUAGAAAUAGGGGAUAAUACCGAAUACGGUUGUCCGGUUAUGACCGGAUAAAGAAAGGAGCUCCGGCUCCGCCUGAGGAUGGGCCCGCGUUCCAUUAGCUAGUUGGUGAGGUAAAGGCCCACCAAGGCUCUGAUGGGUAGCCGGCCUGAGAGGGUGACCGGCCACACUGGGACUGAGAUACGGCCCAGACUCCUACGGGAGGCAGCAGCUAAGAAUAUUCCGCAAUGGCCGAAAGGCUGACGGAGCGACGCCGCGUGGAUGACGAAGGCCGAAAGGUUGUAAAAUCCUUUUGUUGCUGAAGAAUAAGGGAGGGAGGGAAUGCCCUCCCGAUGACGUUAGGCAACGAAUAAGCCCCGGCUAAUUACGUGCCAGCAGCCGCGGUAACACGUAAGGGGCAAGCGUUGUUCGGAAUUAUUGGGCGUAAAGGGCACGUAGGCGGUAUGGUAAGCCUGGCGUGAAAUCCUCCGGCUUAACCGGGGAAUGGCGUUGGGAACUGCAAUACUGGAGUCAUGGAGGGGAAGUUGGAAUUCCUAGUGUAGGGGUGAAAUCUGUAGAUAUUAGGAAGAACACCGGUGGCGAAGGCGAACUUCUAGCCAAUGACUGACGCUGAGGUGCGAAAGUGCGGGGAGCAAACAGGAUUAGAUACCCUGGUAGUCCGCACUAUAAACGAUGUACACUAGGUGUUGGGCCGUGCGGUUCAGUGCCGAAGCAAACGUGAUAAGUGUACCGCCUGGGGAGUAUGCCCGCAAGGGUGAACUCUAGAUGCGGCCGCACUGACUGGUAUCCGUGGAGCAUGUGUUUAAUUCGAUGAUACCCCGAGGAACCUUACCUGGGUUUGACAU
rnacentral:rRNA from 1 species